rnacentral:rRNA from 1 species
AGCAGCCGCGGUAAUUCCAGCUCCAAUAGCGUAUAUUAAAGUUGUUGCAGUUAAAAAGCUCGUAGUUGAAUUUCGGGAUCAAUACGUCGGUCGUGCUUUCGGGUACGUACUGGCGUCAUUGGUUUCUCCUUUCUGACGAACCAUGAUGUCAUUAAUUUGGUGUUAUGGGGAGUUAGGACUGUUACUUUGAAAAAAUUAGAGUGUUUAAAGCAGGCAUUAGCUUGAAUACAUUAGCAUGGAAUAAUGAAAUAGGACGUUCGAUCCUAUUUUGUUGGUUUCUAGGAUCAACGUAAUGAUUAAUAGGGAUAGUUGGGGGCAUUAGUAUUCAAUUGUCAGAGGUGAAAUUCUUGGAUUUAUUGAAGACUAACUACUGCGAAAGCAUUUGCCAAGGAUGUUUUCAUUAAUCAAGAACGAAAGUUAGGGGAUCGAAGACGAUCAGAUACCGUCGUAGUCUUAACCAUAAACUAUGCCGACUA